rnacentral:rRNA from 1 species
GAUGAACGCUGGCGGCGUGUCUAAUACAUGCAAGUCGAGCGAAGCGGGGACGGGUGAGUAACACGUGGAUAACCUCAUAUAAGACUGGUAUAACUUCGGGAAACAGGAGCUAAACCGGAUUCUUAUAGCUGGAUCCGCGCUGCAUUAGCUAGAUGGUAUGGUAACGGGUGACCAAGGCAACGAUGCAUAGCCUACCUUAGAGGGUGAUCGGCAACACUGGAACUGAUACACAGUCCAGACUCCUACGGGAGGCAGAAGUAGGGAAUGUUCCGCAAUGGGCGAGAGCCUGACGGAGCAACGCCUCGUGAGUGAUGAAGGUCUUGGGAUCGUAAAACUCUGUUAUUAGGUAAGCGGUACCUAAUCAGAAAGCCACGGCUAACGACGUGCCAGCAGCCGCGGUAAUAC